UAUAUAUAUAUAGACACACACACACACACACACACACACACACACAUAUAAAGUAUUGUUCCUCUUAUUGUUAGCCCUCUGUCCCACGUUGUGGUCCAGUAUUUGGUUUGGUGACCUUAUUACAAGGAUAUAGAUUUACAAAAUCAUUAUCACCAUGAACCAACACUCUUUUUCUUUAUUGAAUGUCUCCAGGCAGUCGAGUAGAUAAAGAUGGAUUGUCAUUCUAUUGCACACCUGCACAAAGGAGGAAGAAGUAGCAAGAGUAUUGCUCCAUGAAGCUCACUGAAAAGUACCCCCGGAUGGUGCAGUUUUUUGCAGAAACCACAGCUGGGGUUUCAGACUUUUUGCUGCAAAAUGCAGUGGGUGCAUGGAGAAGAUCGCUCCUACAGAGUUUGUGAUGCGUGCCGUGGAAUGUGUAUACCAUCUAAGCUGCUUCUGCUGCUGUGUAUUUGAGCGACCGCUCAGGAAGGGAGAUGAGCUUCUACUCAAGGAAGGAUAAUUGCUGUAAAAGUGACUAUGAGAAGGAGAAAGAUCUGCUGAGCUCUGGAAGUCCAGAUGGCUGAUUCUGUAAAAAGUGAUGAUGAAGAUGGUGAUGUGAAACCAGGGAAAUGCCAUGUAAAUCAGGGGAAAGGCAAUGAUGAUGGGAAAGACCCAAGGAUACCAAAGCGGCCAAGGACAAUCCUCACAACCCAACAAAGAAGGGCAUUCAAAGCAUCUUUUGAGGUGUCAUCUAAACCAUCUUUUGAGACAUGUGUGCAUCCAAUGCCUUGUGGCAUCUCCAACAACUGUUAUGAGGUGUGUCCCCUGAAACAGAACAAAGAAAGAAAGGAUUAAAAUGAAGCCAAUUUGGAGAAACCGCACAAACCCCAACAGAGUUUCCUGGUGCUUGGUGGUAGGGGAAUCGGCAACCGCCCAACCAAGAUAGAGCUGGGAGCUGUGCCCUGAAGAUUAAAGCAAACUUCAUGUGCUUGGAUUGAGAAUGUGGAGACACUGUGGAUGUCUGUACCAGCUCUGUGUGAGUCCCGGUGAGUCUGACUGAGGGAGAUAUUGAAACUCCAGCGUGUUCCAUGGAUGAAAACAGGUGUUGUCCGUGUGCCUGCUACGUGGGAGCAACUACUCUGUCCAACAGGAGAGGUAUUCGGGCAGGUAGCACUAUCUGGGGAAAGUUAAAGGGGUGGUUCACCUUUAAGUUAACUUUUAGUAUGUUUUACAAUGAUCAGUUCUAAACAUCUUUUUAACUAAUCUAUAUCAUUUAUUUUUUAUAGUUUUUGAAUUAUCUGCCCUGUUCGUCUGACACUUUCCAGCUUUCACAUCGG